ensembl:lncRNA
CAGGCAGAGAAGAUGAGAACCAGGUAUUCUACAGUGUAACAGUGUGAGUUAUUGAAAAGUUAAUUGGGGUCCUGUCCUUUUUGCAGACCUGCAGUCUUCCACAAAAAGAAUGAGAAGGUCUAAUCAAGUCUUUCUGGAGCUCUUAAUUCUGAGAAAACUGAUUUGAAUCAUCUUUCUAAGUUUGAGAUAUCCUGAGGUAGAUGGAAAGCAACCAGGAACACAGAAUGGUAAUGGAUUUCCAGGGCUGUGGAAAGGCCAGCUUUGUGCAUGGAAAUGCGAUCUGCACGAUGUGGUGCUUGACAUUAAGAGUUGGACACAUAACUUUCCCUUCUCUGGAAUCAUGAAGGCUCUUUGGCCCCCACGAUUCUCUGCAUGGGGACCCAGAAAUCUGUGUUUUAACAAGCCCUGCAGAAGAUUCUGCUGCACACUCAGGUUUGAGAUCCACAGCCGUAAUUCUUCAGCCACUAACUCCAAGUGAUGUUUCCUCCUACUGUGU